ensembl:lncRNA
UGACAUGACAUGAGAUUAACAGAGCUAGAAUUGACAAGUUAACUAUCUAUGCUACACUACAACUAUCACUGUUUGAAGACACGUUGUUUUAGUAGGCUAAUACCACGCAAAAACCAACCUUAUUCCUGUGUGUAUAUUCCGUUGUGCGCUGUCCUUGUCAAAAUAAAGCUGAAAUAUAAUGAAUUACAUUAAUGUUGAUGGCUUAGUUGAUGGCUUAACUUAAUACAAAUCCUAGCUGCUACUUUUGGCUGCAUCCAUCACACGUCGUUCCCUCAAGCAAAUGCUACUAACAACUACCAAGAACGCACAUGGCCGUAAUCAUUCUAGAUAGCUAAGACUGGGCUAUGCUGUUAUGAUAAUGGUGUUAAAUUUGGAAGAACAUUUAGAUAUGCUUCUGUUAUGAUUAAUAUCUAAUGUUGUUAUGUUUCACUGUACAAUCAACAUGUUCAUUAACAUCAGACAUGUUGGCAGAUGUAGUGACAUUAAAAGAGAAGAGAACUGAGACAUGAAAAAGGCACAUUUACAUUUAGCAAGAGAGGCAAACGAUGCAAGAGAGUUAGCCUAUAUCAGUUAAUUCUGGCAAAAGGAAACAACUCAUUUGCACAAACUAGUUAUCGAAAAACAUGACAAAUCCUAAAUAUAGAGCUAGACUUGACAAGUUAACUAUCUAUGCUACACUACAACUAUCACUGUUUGAAGAUACGUUGUUUUAGUAGGCUACUACCACGCAAAAACCAACCUUAUUCCUGUGUGUAUAUUCCGUUGUGCGCUGUCAACUACCAAGAACGCACAUGGACGUAAGAAUUCUAGAUAGCUAAGACUAGGCUAUGCUGUUCUGAUGAUAAUGGUGUUAAAUUUGGAAGAACAUUUAGAUAUGCUUCUGUUAUGAUUCAUAUCUAAUGUUUUUAAGUUUCACUGUACAAUCGACAUGUUCAUUAACAUCAGACAUGUUGGCAGAGCUAGUGACAUUAUAAGAGAAGAGAACUGAGACAUGAAAAAGGUGCAUUUACAUUUAGCAAGAGAGGC